ACCUUCGCCGCGAAUUUAGGUUCGACAGGGUCGUUAUGGCCUUGUUGAUUAAAAGGGAAUCCGGUGAAAGUCCGGAACUGUUCCCGCAACUGUAAGUUCAUGCCGAGCUACGCUUGGUGCCUCUUAAGAGGGUGUUGCUUUCUUCAAAACCACUGUCUGCCAUAAAGAUGGGAAGGUAAAACAACAUUGGACAAGUCAGGAGACCUGCCGGAUUCAAACAACUAAU
rnacentral:ncRNA from 1 species